CUUGAUACGUGAUGAUACAAUACCUCUCAGGUUUGCUGAGUAGCAAAGAGAAAUUGGGUCUCCUACAAAAGGAAAGUUGUGACUGUGAGGAAUCUGCCUAGGAGCCAUGAGUCUUUAGAGGACAGAAACUGCUGGAAGGAAACAAGACCAGGAGAGGACCUGUAGAGAUCUGGUGGCAGAGAUCCAUGCAGAGGGUGUCUCUGAGGUCAGGAAUGGGAAUCUUGGGAAAAGGAUGCACACCCAUCCCAGAUCUUCUCCUGAAGAUGUGUCCCAUCAUUUUGCUGGUAAUUCCUACCAUCUCACUAGUGGGCCUUUGAAGCUCCCAACUGGGUUCCAGGCCCCUGGGUCUCAGACUUUUGAACUUUCUGCAUGACCAGUCUGAAUGACAUCUGGACCCCUGCCUCAUUCAGUACACAGGACAAACACAUGUGAGAGAUUUCAGAGUGCAUAGGCAGCCACCAGUUUAGCAGAUCCUGACAUGUUCUUUUCAUCUGAUCUGGUACUUUUAAAUGCACCUAUCUUCUGGCACUUGAUCCCUCCACAGGCUACACUCAGUCCCUUCAGCAAGACGGUCAGCAGUGUACAAUCAGGACAGAGGAGUUUCAUUCUGCUGCUGCUUCCAUCCCACUUUUUUCUCAUGCUCCAGUGUGGGUCCUGCACAGUCUGCAUUCCCUUCAGGGAAUUCUGUGUUCCAGUGUGCUCAUCCAUGGACAUCAUUCCCUUUGGGGAUCUAUCUGUGCCAAAAGCCUGGAUGAUGGACUCAGCCUUGGCUUGCAGUAGUCCUGUUGUGGAGCUGUCUGGAGCCAGCAGUGUCCAGCACGAUCCUACAGCAGCCAGCCCUGAAAUCCUCAGUCCCUCCCAGAACCUGGCCAUCCACACCCGUACAGUUAUGUGCCACACGCUGUGUGGUUUGUCCACUCCUGUUUGCUGGUUUCCCUUAGCCCAAAUAGACAGGGGAAAGAGAAAUGCUCUUCAACACUUCUGAACCUCAUCAGGAACCGGACAGUCCAGAAUCAUGAUUAUUCUCUUUCACCGUUUCCAAAUGUAAUAUCCAUGUAUGGAAAUUUCACCUAGAAACCAUAGUGUUCCUGUAGGGAAAAUUCCAACCCAUCUGACAUGCCACUGUAUUUUCUCAUAUCUUUAACCUGUCAUAACUGCAAUAAAAAACAAUUUUCUCUGAAGGUUUCGAGGCUUCCCUGCACCAUUAGUCUAAUGCUGUAAAACUCUGCUUAGUUUUACUAUUGGCAUUAUCAUAAACAA